AUGCGAUAUGGCAACAUCCUUUCGGGAAUUCGGUGCGGUUCGAAAACACCCUGAACCAAGGCCGGAACUGCCCUGCAACUGUAUCUGCGCUGUUUUGGCGGCGCACAAGUCAGAUGACCGAAGGAUGACUUUGUUUCUGC
rnacentral:ncRNA from 1 species